CGGAUGAAGUGCGCACUGAUGAUAGGGAGAGAGACAAUAGAGGCUCUGGUCUAGGUUAGCCCGGCGGGGAGGGUAGGGGAGGUGUCGGUCGGUGGCAGCGCUAAACCUCCGGAGGCUGGUCUAGAAGGAGGGUUGGUGCUGAACCCAACGCGAGGGGGCAGCUCGCUCGGGGUUGUGCCGACGACCGCACGACCGGCAGCUCGCUCGGGGUGGUGCCGCUGCUCGGCUGCUGGUGGUGGAAGAGGAAGGGGAGGAGGCCGGUCUAGGUGGGCCACGGGGAGGCUGCGAACUGCAAGUAUAGGUAUGGCUCGUCCGCAACACCCGAACGUUUUAAUCACGCUGAUGGAUGUCCGGCCACACCACCUUGAACCUAGUACAUCUUGAGAUCGGUACGUUAAAACAACAGCCACAGUACCUAAAAAAUAUCAAACAAACAAAGAAGGUCGAGAGGAAAGAUGGAUGUUUAAAGACAGACACAAUAUUUUGAGGUCACGAUGAUGCUACCUAGAAGCUAGAGGAUCUUACGGUAGUGAACGCUGGAAACAACAGCCAACAAGCCACUAUACCUAAACACGAUGUUCGGCAACUGGAGUCUAAAACAAAAGACUAGAGUGAAGCAUAAGAGCACACACACGUAGGGAGGCCGCCGACGGCAGCUUCCUUUAACUACGUACACGUAUAAGUCUAAGAACACACGGAUCAUAUGGAAAGACAAUCAACUUCACUUGGCAUCAGUGGAUUAAGUUUACAAUAACAUAACACUCCUUGAUAAAUAAAAAACAGAAGUUGAUAACUUCUUUUACAUAGUCUUGACUUCUUGACUUC
rnacentral:rRNA from 1 species